GACAGAGGGUGCAAACGUUGUUCGGAAUCACUGGGCGUAAAGCGCGUGUAGGCGGCCAGAUAAGUCGGGUGUGAAAUCCCACGGCUCAACCGUGGAAGUGCAUUCGAAACUGCUUGGCUCGAGUCUCGGAGAGGAAGGUGGAAUGCUUGGUGUAGAGGUGAAAUUCGUAGAUAUCAAGCGGAACACCGGUGGCGAAGGCGGCCUUCUGGACGAUGACUGACGCUGAGACGCGAAAGCGUGGGGAGCAAAC
rnacentral:rRNA from 1 species